rnacentral:rRNA from 1 species
UUUCAGAGCCCAGACAUUCCUGCUCAACUAAUUCCAGUGCUAGGAUAGGAAUUCAAUUCAUAUGAUGAUGCAUUCAAUUUUUUUAAUGACUACGCCAAACAUGCUGGGUUCGGCAUAAGGAAAGGGCAGAGAAAUAAGAAGAAACGCUACUAAUAUUGCGUACACUCUGGCAAAUACAUAUCCUCUGUUCAGGAUGCAGAUCGUCAGCGCAAGGAAGUAACAAAAAGAACUGAUUGCAAGACAAUGAUGCUCUUGAAAGAAAGAGACGAUGGGACUUGUGUUGUCAAAGAAAUUGUGAUUGAACACAACCACAGACUCCUCAACAGCCCGUCCGCGCUUGUGUUUCUGCAUUCACACAAAACGAUAGACCCAACAGUGAAAGAAUACAUAAAAGACCUGCAUAAGACAAAUGUUAAGCAUGUGAAUAUCAUGGGUCUCCUUUCUUGGUUAUCUGGUGGGCGCGACAAAUUGCCUUUUAUAGACAAGGACGUGCUUAACAUGUAA